UCCGCAGGUGGUGGGGCAAGUCGGCGGUUAAAGACUGGGGCUUAACUCCAGAAAGGCCGUGGAAACUGCACCACUAGAGGGCAGUAGGGGUAGAGGGAAUUCCCGGUGUAGCGGUGAAAUGCGUAGAGAUCGGGAAGAACACCAGUGGCGAAAGCGCUCUACUGGACUGCAACUGACACUGAGGGACGAAAGCUAGGGGAGCGAAUG
rnacentral:rRNA from 1 species